rnacentral:rRNA from 1 species
UACGUAGGUGGCGAGCGUUGUCCGGAUUUACUGGGCGUAAAGCGUGCGCAGGCGGCUUGCCAAGUCAGAUGUGAAAGCCCCGGGCUUAACCUGGGAAUGGCGUUUGAAACUGGCAGGCUAGAGUUUGGCAGAGGGGGGUGGAAUUCCACGUGUAGCAGUGAAAUGCGUAGAGAUGUGGAGGAACACCGAUGGCGAAGGCAGCCCCCUGGGCCAAAACUGACGCUCAGGCACGAAAGCGUGGGGAGCAAACAGG